UGCAAGUCGAACGAUGAAGCCAGCUUGCUGGUGGAUUAGUGGCGAACGGGUGAGUAACACGUGGGUGAUCUGCCCCAAACUUUGGGAUAAGCCUGGGAAACUGGGUCUAAUACCGAAUAUGACCACGGAAUGCAUGUUUUGUGGUGGAAAGCUCCGGCGGUUUGGGAUGGGCCCGCGGCCUAUCAGCUUGUUGGUGGGGUAAUGGCCUACCAAGGCGACGACGGGUAGCCGGCCUGAGAGGGCGACCGGCCACACUGGGACUGAGACACGGCCCAGACUCCUACGGGAGGCAGCAGUGGGGAAUAUUGCACAAUGGGCGCAAGCCUGAUGCAGCGACGCCGCGUGAGGGAUGACGGCCUUCGGGUUGUAAACCUCUUUCACCAGGGACGAAGCGAAAGUGACGGUACCUGGAGAAGAAGCACCGGCCAACUACGUGCCAGCAGCCGCGGUAAUACGUAGGGUGCGAGCGUUGUCCGGAAUUACUGGGCGUAAAGAGUUCGUAGGCGGUUUGUCGCGUCGUUCGUGAAAACUUGGGGCUUAACUCCAAGCGUGCGGGCGAUACGGGCAGACUUGAGUACUACAGGGGAGACUGGAAUUCCUGGUGUAGCGGUGAAAUGCGCAGAUAUCAGGAGGAACACCGGUGGCGAAGGCGGGUCUCUGGGUAGUAACUGACGCUGAGGAACGAAAGCGUGGGUAGCGAACAGGAUUAGAUACCCUGGUAGUCCACGCUGUAAACGGUGGGUACUAGGUGUGGGUUCCUUUUCACGGGAUCCGUGCCGUAGCUAACGCAUUAAGU
rnacentral:rRNA from 1 species